UACAGAGGUCCCAAGCGUUGUUCGGAUUCACUGGGCGUAAAGGGUGCGUAGGCGGUUUGAUAAGUCUGAUGUGAAAUCCCGCAGCUUAACUGCGGAACUGCAUUGGAAACUAUUUGACUAGAGGAAUGGAGGGGAGACUGGAAUACUUGGUGUAGCAGUGAAAUGCGUAGAUAUCAAGUGGAACACCAGUGGCGAAGGCGAGUCUCUGGACAGUUCCUGACGCUGAGGCACGAAAGCCAGGGGAGCAAACGGG
rnacentral:rRNA from 1 species